UACGUAGGGGGCAAGCGUUGUCCGGAAUCAUUGGGCGUAAAGCGCGUGUAGGCGGUUCGGUAAGUCCGCUGUGAAAGUCCAGGGCUCAACCCUGGGAUGCCGGUGGAAACUAUCUGGCUAGAGUCCGGAAGAGGAGAAUGGAAUUCCUGGUGUAGCGGUGAAAUGCGCAGAUAUCAGGAAGAACACCCGUGGCGAAGGCGGUUCUCUGGGACGGUACUGACGCUGAGACGCGAAAGCGUGGGGAGCGAACAGG
rnacentral:rRNA from 1 species